rnacentral:misc_RNA from 1 species
GAAGCUCAUUUUUGAACUUCACUUUCUUUACUCCUUUGAACUCUCAGCACUUUGUUCAAGCUACAAUAUUCAUUCUAGCCUUACUUUAAUUGUUUCUAAGCUUGACAUCGAAGAUCACUAACCGAUGUUGGCUCGUUAAAGCCUAUUCCGGAAUGACCUUGCAAUCCUUGUAUAGAGCUCUAUUUGUCUUCCGGGUUAAGAGGAAGUCAAUUUGAUUUUUAUGUUGCCCACUUUUGAAAG